rnacentral:lncRNA from 1 species
GCUAUUGAAUUCUUGCCUAUUCAUGAAGGGAUUCCCGGAGUUUCAUCUCGUGAAAAUGCAUGGAGUCCGACAAUUAACAUCGCAUCCAUUCACGUAAGCUCGGUGGCAUUACGGAAAGGAAAAAAAUAAGCGUUCAUUCAUGAAAACUCUUAUCUGCGUAUACAUAGCCAUAGAUUACCAACCCCGUUUCAUUCACACGUUCGUGGAACAGGUUGAAUUUAUCGCUGACAUCUUUCCGUUGAAAAAAGGACCAUAUCAAUUUUACAAACCCCACUAUUUUAUAUUUUAUCUUCGUCCAAUUUUUGUCCAAGAUACCGAGGAUUCCAAUUUUAUUACCACGAAUUACCGUAAAUUAACAAAACUCAACGCAUUCGCUUCAAUCUCUCUAAAAUAACAAGAAGAAAACCAUAGGAACUAAACUGAAGAAAACUACCAUGUUACAACACCUUUAAUUGACUAAAAAAUGACGGCAGUAAGGAAACUAUAGAAAUCAAAUAAAAGGUAUAACAUCGUCAUUUCUUCAACAUCAUAACAAAUCCAUUCGAAUUCAUUUCACCAGUUAAUCCACAAACAUUUCUUUUAUCCACAAAUCUCAUGGAAGAAACGGUAUCGAAAGAAACUAAGCAGGAGCAUCGUCGAAUCGACUCACGUGCACUGGAACACAGGCGAGCCUCGAGUCACAGUGCAGGAUAUAUGACGCAAAUCGAAUGCACGUGGUUCUGUUUACGUACGAGAUAAGAGUUUGUCCUGGGUCAAGGCUGCACGCAGUUUGAUAAUCCAAUUCAGAUAACGGGAACGUGCAUAGAGUUUGCUGGACCUUGAGUACAUACAUACAUAUAUAUACACAUAUAACGACGGUCUACGCGAGAAAGAGAAACGUCCGAAGAGAAUACACACGAGGCAGCGCAAGGCAAGGCGAGUCUCGAUGACUCAUUUCGCGAGCAAUUUGUCAAAUCAUCUGCCCCUUCUCUCCCCCGAAAGACCCGGCCUCGUUCCCUCUCCUUCAAACGGAAAGACUCACGUUUAUCGUGAAUAGUACGCCUAACGUGCGCACGUGACAUUUCGAGUAUCUCGAAUUAAACUGUAAACAUCGUAGUACAACCGACGGUUGAAGACCAGCCACGCGGACAGUGUCAAUGAUCCUACUAUUUAUUGGAUCGUUGCUUACGCACGGCGCCACAUGUCUGUGGAUAUGUAUGUGUACACGUCCGGCUGUAUAUGUGCGGGCAUCUCUCCUUCCUCGUCUCGCUUUUGUCAGUCGUGACCUCGAAGGUUAUUUCCUCUGUCUACCUCUUUAUCUUCUGAAUCUCCUUGCGAGACCCGAUUUUCGAAAUCUUUCAUUCAGAUGCUCUGCGGUGAAUGACACGACAUGAACAGGAAUUUGGCUUUGAUUCUCGAUUGAUAUGAUACUUAUGUAUGAUAGGAGCCUGAAAAUUUGUACCAGCUGCCUGUGGAUUAUGAUGUAUGAUUGUUAUAUCGUAUCGUUAUUACAGAUUGGUACAGAUUCAAAUAGAUUGCUUUUGGAAUGUACGUGUAUUCAAGUGUUUUCACACUUAAAUACUCUUCUCCUCUUCUUCAAUAGCAUACCAUGAAGUAUACGUUUCUCAAAUCUCUUCAGCCUCUAUCUUUCAAAAAGUCGAAGAACACUUAGGAACAAUGAAAUGUGAACAAGGUCAUCUCUUCUCCUCGUAAAUCCUCCAGAUAUCUUCUCUGAGACUGAAAGUCUCGAUAAUCAUGAUAUAAAUUGCGCGAACAGCCUCUGGUGACUUUGCAACUGCCGUUAGAUUCCAUGCAGCGACUGUACGCGUUUCGUUCCCUGUGACUACUCUCCACGUCUCCAUCUCGACCGAUUCUCCGUCACGAUUCAUAGGGGUAUAGGUAAACGACAUCCGCGUCCGAGUGGGCACGUGCGUGUGCCUCUGCGUUCGCGUGUCCCGUAGUUUGUGUCGUUGACUGAGGGUGGUGGUGGUCGUGUGAUGGUAGUGGCGAAAAGGGGGAAGAGGGUGACGGAGGAGGGAGAGCAAGCACGUGUGAGGACGUAGUACGAUUUACUCGCAGAUCGGUGGAACGUCUUCCUCGUUCCCUCCCUCGCCCUCUUUCUCGUCGAUGAGCUGUCUUUCUUUCUCUUCCACCCCUUCCCCCUAUCGCGUACUUCUCUUCCUCAUUCUCCUCCUCUUCGUCGUUCCUCCUCCUCCACCUCUUCCUCCUCCUCCGCCUUCUCCUCCUUCACCACCUCUUCCUCCUACCACUGACAUUAUACUACUACUACGGGGUACUCCACUUUCAUUCAGUCGCUUCUAAAAAUAAAGUCCCUGAUUCACAAUGCAUGAAUGACAAUCACACUGAAAGGAAUACCGCACAGACUUGUAGCCUUUCUCACUCUCUUUCCCCCCUAUCUCACUCCCUCUAACCGCCCCAUGUCUUCUUUGUCUCUCUUGUCGAUCUCCUGCUCUUGCGAUUUUCCCUCUCACUCCGUCUUUCUGUUGUAUGUGUCCUGUCUCGUUCUACCAUUCCCGAAGCACUCCCUCUCGCUCUCUUUUCGCUCCUAUCACUCUCGCCUCUCCUGUCUCGCUUCUUUUUCCAACCUGUUCUCUCGUUCCCUGGCGCCCACCACCCUUUCUCCCUCCUCUCUCUCUCUCACUCUCUCUCUUUCUCUCUGUGUCUAUGUAUGUAUAUAUAUGCCUGCCUCUGUGUAUAUGUGUCGUACUCUCUUGUAAGAGAGUGAAAUCUCGGUUCGCCUGUUGCAUCGAACUAUUGGUUGGUUCCGUGUAAAUAGAUCCCGUGGAAAUUCGAAGUAGCAUUGCCGCGUUGCGCCGGCCUGAUCGAUCGGAGGGAUCGAUCUUGCACCGGAGAACUUGUUGCACAUCGUGCCAGAUUUUACAAAUGUCACGGUCCGAUGUUUGAAUUGGCAUCAGAGAGUAUGUACGUCCGUUUGAAUAAACGUUAUCGCUUGCUCGUACUAUCCGAUGAUGAUCGAGUAAGUCGAGGAAUAGGAAGCAGUUGGAGAAUAGUUACUGAAACGUUUCUCUGCUCGUAGGUGUUUGGAUGAAGCGGUGGCUGCUUCUUUCGAGGAUAAACGAGAGGUUUGAUAUUGCUGAGGAUGAAAAAUUCUUAGUAGACUUCGCAAGACUGAUACGAUAACGAAGCGAGCUAUCUAAAGCAAGAUCGUAUCGCUGGCUGAUAAACGAAUUCUGCGAGAAAAACAAGUGUAGAUUCAACAAGAUAUCGUUGGUACUGCGUUAUGACAGUUUAAGGCGAUAAUUCUUAAUGUAUUAAGUCAAGAAAACGAGAAGGGUUCGUUUUAUGAAGAUCAACAACGAAGAUAGCAACCGGAAAUACCAGCUAUAAUUUGGGAAUGCACAAUUGUCCCGUAACGCUCUGAAGGUUCACGGAAAUAGGGGCGAGUAACCCUGAAUAUCUCGUGAAGUUCUCGGCUCGAAGCACCCAAGGAGAACUGGUUUCAACUCAUCAUAGUCACCUAGCUGUUCACGAUACGGCAUUCCAAAAUAAAAAGCAGAAUAAUCAAAUGUCCCUGAAAACAGCAAAACACUGCCGAAUUCAAUAAUAUUGCUUGAAGCUGUUUUAAAGCCUACAGGUUUUUCGAAAAUUCUUCAGUGAAGAAUUAACCACGAGAAGAGUUAUAUUAACUCGUACAUAUAAAAGACCUACUUUCAUCACCCUUCUUGAAGUUACUCACGCGAAACAUCCUUGUUAAUAGAUAAUCCUAUAAUAAAUGCAGCCUACGGAAACUUCAAGACACUUCAAAUUCUUCUUGCGAAAGAAAUUGCAGCAACGUUCAACGGUGCUAUAAAAAUAUGGCAAACGUUUGCGAGCGUUUAUCCACUUGCGAUAUUCCAAACGACUACAGGAGAAGUUAAAUAUUUCUUUAAAAUGAAAAUGCUUCCUGGCAUCAGAAGUUAAAGAAAAAGUGACUCCAGUACUUGAAGAAAAAAAGAAAAUAAUUCAAAGUCGGAUAAUUCCAAGAUUAAAAUAUCCCUCUAGUUGAACCAUGACUACGACAAUCCUGGACUCUAAUCUGACUGCAAGAUUUCAGUGAAGGGACAACUUUGUGUCCAAGAGUUUCCCUUGACGAGACUCCCUCGUUAUUAUUCGCCGCUGCGAGCCUCUACUCUAACUAAAGAGAGACUUCAGAGUGCAAGACAGAGCUAUAGGUAGAGAGAGCAGCAGUACCAGCAGCUCGAACCGCUCACAGCUAAAUAUAUCUCUCUCUCUAGAGUUACUCAAGGUCACAGCGCUUGGAUUGGCCCACGAUAAAGCGCAGCUCCGUACCCGUCCCUCGACUGCCCGGCCUUAUGCUUCGUUCGCACACAUUCUGCCGCGCCGUGGCCCACAUGUCACUUCGCGACAAUGUCGUAUACCAGCCGCAUCGGGUACACGUGUUCGAUCGAACGCAGCAAUAGUCACUCCGCAUGCGAGCCGUAUUUUCAGCCACGAUACGUUCCUAUAUAGUCACGUCUACACCUUUCGAUCUUUUCCCCAUUGUUCUGUUUCAUUAGUCACAAUCGCAAUUUCGUAUUAGUCGCGAUCAAAAUUCUGUAUUUUCGUUUCACUCACGCUCUGUCGUUUCUUGGAACGUUUUUCUCUUUAAAUCUCACGGAACACUUUCGAUAUCUUUCAAUCAUCGAUUUUUUAAAUCUUUACUACUUUUGCAUUUUGGUUUUAAAGUAGAGUAUUUUAUGGAAGUUGAUUCUUUUUAUGAAUAAAGUUGCCUAUUUUCUUUAAGUUACAUAUUAAAAUUAGGUAUUUCUGAGAAAUAUAAAUUACAGUAAAAAUAAUGUGUGUAAUAAAAAGAAAGAUAUUUCGGAGGUAGUAUCAUUUUAGCCCGUUCAGGGAAUAUACGAUAUAUUGCAUACGUGAUGUUAUUAUUAUUCUAUGAAGCACGUAUACUGACUUCCGGGUAAACCAUAGACACGGAAAGAGAGUGUGACCUGUUGCUGACGACAAAUAAUUGGCGAGUUACAGGUCGCUCUUUAGAAACACCAACAGAAAGGCGUAGAAUCUAUGGGGCGUAUGUUCCGUAAUAAUGUAUACGCAAUGUAGAAUCUUACAAACAAUGGCGUAGACUUCAAUGCAGCUUAAGUCUAUUAUAAAAUUAUUUACAUUCUACUAACAUCAUUCGUUUGCGAGAUUUCUAUUAAUCCUGCUA